UGCGAAAUGAAUAUUUGGCUUUAUUAAAGGAAUAAGCAAUCAUGUGUAACAGGGUUUAAACUGAAGGCGAGCCAGUAUCGAGCCUCCAGAUCUAACCCUUGUCACUUAGUUGCUUGAUAUGAGGCGACUUCAAAACUCAACAGUGUCCGUAGUACAGAGAAUAAAUAGCCUUACUGGGUGGUCUUGAUGGGAGAGAAUGUGAGAUUGCGCAUGCUCAGAACACUGGUGCCCGCCUAACCUCUUUCCUAACGUCGCAGCUCUUCAGUACCUUGUCCAAAACACAUCUUCGAGGAGGUGGCCUUGAGACAGGCUCUAUCUCCACACUUGGUCACCUAAUGGAUAAAUUCUCUUUUGCCAAACUUGUUUUCUUGACUGACGUAGUCUGAGGCAGGCGAACAAGAUUACCAUGACUUCAUUUGCCAGCAGUGACAUCACCGGGAGAACCAUGUGUAUUCCAGUUCUACCCCUGUCCUAUGAGGUGAACAGGUCAUUGAGCUGAGCACUGCUGUCGCGCUGCUUUGCCACAGCCCUGAGGGCAACAAGGCCAAGGAACCACAGUUACAACUAUGAUCCAAAGUAGACCUUUUCUCCUCUUAAAGUCUCUGUUCUAGGGUAUUUUGUCACAGCAACAGGAAGCUGACAAACAGGAAGUGUCGUUCACAUUGAAGUUCUGGCAAGCUGGAAUAAAGCUGUUUCUCGGCCCUUCGCAGAAGAAGUCAGGCUUAGAAAGGUAGUAGCCAAAUACCUCAAACAGUCCC
rnacentral:lncRNA from 1 species